rnacentral:rRNA from 1 species
GAUGAACGCUGGCGGCGUGCCUAAUACAUGCAAGUCGAGCGAACGGACGAGAAGCUUGCUUCUCUGAUGUUAGCGGCGGACGGGUGAGUAACGCGUGGAUAACCUACCUAUAAGACUGGGAUAACUUCGGGAAACCGGAGCUAAUACCGGAUAAUAUUUUGAACCGCAUGGUUCAAAAGUGAAAGACGGUCUUGCUGUCACUUAUAGAUGGAUCCGCGCUGCAUUAGCUAGUUGGUAAGGUAACGGCUUACCAAGGCAACGAUGCAUAGCCGACCUGAGAGGGUGAUCGGCCACACUGGAACUUAGACACGGUCCAGACUCCUACGGGAGGCAGCAGUAGGGAAUCUUCCGCAAUGGGCGAAAGCCUGACGGAGCAACGCCGCGUGAGUGAUGAAGGUCUUCGGAUCGUAAAACUCUGUUAUUAGGGAAGAACAUAUGUGUAAGUAACUGUGCACAGCUUGACGGUACCUAAUCAGAAAGCCACAGCUAACUACGUG